CUCAGGAUCACCGGAUCUUUCGGCCAUUAUCACUAGACAUCCUCACCUGAGGGAGGCCCCCCCGGGGGUGAUCAAAUCCCGGGGUUUUUCUAUGAGGUCUGACUUAGAAUCUCCCGGGACACAUCAUCAGUAGUGGACCUCAGGAUCACCGGAUGUUUCGGCCAUUAUCACUAGACAUCCUCACCUGAGGGAGGCCCCCCCGGGGGUGAUCAAAUCC